rnacentral:rRNA from 1 species
UCUGGUUGAUCCUGCCAGUAGUCAUAUGCUUGUCUCAAAGAUUAAGCCAUGCAUGUCUAAGUAUAAAUAGUAUACAGUGAAACUGCGAAUGGCUCAUUAAAACAGUUAUAGUUUAUUUGAUAAUUGACAAUUACAUGGAUAACCGUGGUAAUUCUAGAGCUAAUACAUGCUUAAACGCCCGACUUUAUGGAAGGGUGGUAUUUAUUAGACUGAAGCCAAUAUUCCUUGUGUCUAUUGCGGUGAUUCAUAAUAACUGAUCGAAUCUCUUUUUGAGAUAAAUCAUUCAAGUUUCUGCCCUAUCAGCUUUCGAUGGUAGUGUAUUGGACUACCAUGGCAGUAACGGGUAACGAAGAAUUAGGGUUCGAUUUCGGAGAGGGAGCAUGAGAAACGGCUACCACAUCUAAGGAAGGCAGCAGGCGCGUAAAUUACCCAAUCCUGACUCAGGGAGGUAGUGACAAGAAAUAGCAAACCGGGAACCUCAUGGUUUCACGGUAUUGCAAUGAGAACAAUUUAAAACCCUUAGCGAGAAUCAAGUGGAGGACAAGUCUGGUGCCAGCACCCGCGGUAAUUCCAGCUCCACUAGCGUAUAUUAAAGUUGUUGCAGUUAAAAGCUCGUAGUUGAACCUCUGUCAGGGGCUAGUUUUGGCUUUGGUCAGGCUAGUUCUAGGCAUCCGCCUACAAGACUUAGAGGGCAUUCAGUUGUUCACUAGGAGGAGUAGGCAUUUUACUUUGAAAAAAUUAGAGUGUUUAAGGCAGGCAAUCGCCCGCAUAUAUUAGCAUGGAAUAAUAGAAUAGGACACUUUUCCAUUUCGUUGGUUAUUGGAAUCGUGUAAUGAUUAAUAGGGACAGUUGUGGGCAUUCGUAUUUAAUUGUCAGAGGUGAAAUUCUUGGAUUUAUUAAAGACAAACUAACGCGAAAGCAUUUGCCAAGGAUGUUUUCAUUAAUCAAGAACGAAAGUUAGGGGAUCAAAGACGAUCAGAUACCGUCCUAGUCUUAACUAUAAACUAUUCCGACUCAAUGUUUGACUGGCUUAUAUAACCAGUUGAGCGUUGUAUGAGAAAUCAAAGUCUUUAGGUUCUGGGGGGAGCAUGGUUGCAAAGCUGAAACUUAAAGGAAUUGACGGAAGAGCACAACCAGGAGUGGAUUCUGCGGCUUAAUUUGACUCAACACGGGGAAACUUACCAGGUUAAAACAAUAGUGGGAUUGACAGUUUGAGAGCGCUUUCUUGAUUGGUUGGGUGGUGGUGCAUGGCCGUUCUUAGUUGGUGGAGUGAUUUGUCUGCUUAAUUGCGUUAACGAACGAGACCUUAACCUGCUUACUAGACUGGCGAUCAUCAAUCGUUAGCUCUUCUUAGAGGGACUUUGGUUGUUUUAACUCCAAGGAAGUUUG